rnacentral:rRNA from 1 species
UAAGGAAUAUUGGUCAAUGGACGAAAGUCUGAACCAGCCAUGCCGCGUGAAGGAUGAAGGUCCUCUGGAUUGUAAACUUCUUUUAUCUGGGACGAAACCCGGGAAUUCUUUUCCGAUUGACGGUACCAGAGGAAUAAGCACCGGCUAACUCCGUGCCAGCAGCCGCGGUAAUACGGAGGGUGCAAGCGUUAUCCGGAUUCACUGGGUUUAAAGGGUGCGUAGGUGGGUUUGUAAGUCAGUGGUGAAAUCUCCGAGCUUAACUUGGAAACUGCCAUUGAUACUAUAGAUCUUGAAUUUUCUGGAGGUAAGCGGAAUAUGUCAUGUAGCGGUGAAAUGCUUAGAUAUGACAUAGAACACCAAUUGCGAAAGGCAGCUUGCUACAGGAAUAUUGACACUGAGGCACGAAAGCGUGGGGAUCAAACAGGAUUAGAUACCCUGGUAGUCCACGCCCUAAACGAUGGAUACUCGACA